GAUGAACGCUGGCGGCGUGCCUAAUACAUGCAAGUCGAACGAACAGACGAGGAGCUUGCUCCUCUGACUGGAGCGGCGGACAGGUGAGUAACAAGUGGAUAACAUACUUAUAAGUCUGGGAUAACAUCGGGAAACCGGAGCUAAUACCGGAGGAUAUAUUGAACCUGAUGGAUCAAUGGUCAAAGACGGAUUUGCUUUCGCUUAUAGAUGGAUCCGCGCCGCAUUAGCUAGUUGGUGAGGUAACGGCUUACCAAGGCAACGAUGCGUAGCCGACCUGAGAGGGUGGUCGGCCACACUGGAACGGAGACGCGGUCCAGACUCCUACGGGAGGCAGCAGUAGGGAAUAUUCCGGAAUGGGCGACAGCCUGAUGAAGCAACGCCGCGGGGGUGAUGAAGGUCUUCGGCUCGUAAAGAUCUGCUAUUGGGGAUGAACAAAUGUGUAAGUAACUGUGCACGUCUUGACGGUAGCUAAAUAGAAAGCCCCGGCUAACUACGUG
rnacentral:rRNA from 1 species